GUUUUUUUAUUUUUUUAGAAACACUUAAAAUAAGGGCUGUAUUUUGUGUAGGCUUACACUGGUGUGACGUUUGGAUAACUGUAAAUCUCUCGAAGACGAGGUGACUUAUCAAUAUCUUUGCCUGUAUUUACAGCCCAAAAAUUAAGUGCUAAUGUGACUAUCAUAAAGAACUACAAAUGCCAUGAUCUGGACAAGACUGCCAAAUCAAGGCAAAGGGCUAUUUGACCAAGAAGGAGAGUGAAGGAGUGCUACAUCAGAUGACCUGGCCUCCACAAUCCCAACCUCAACCAAAAUUGAGAUGGUUUGGGAUGAGUUGGACCUCAGUGAAGGAAAAGCAGCCAACAAGUGCUCAGCAUAUGUGGGAACUCCUUCAGGACUGUUGGAAAAGCACUCCAGAUGAAGCUGGUUGAGAUAAUGCCAAGAUUGUGCAAAGCUGUCAUCAAGGCAAAGGCUUGUAGCGCCACAACCGAGGGGGGAGGAGAAUGGGCCAGCCAAGAAAAGAAAAUACCCUUCAAAAUGGAAAGGAGAGGUUGGAAGAGGAGGUUGGAGGGUAACUUCUACCUUAGAAGGAAAAAGAUGAGUUAGUUGACCAUGGCAACUGAUAUCAAAUAAAAAUGUAUUUGUCACAUGUGCCAAAUACAACACCUUCCUGUAAAAUGCUUACUUACAAGCCCCUAACCAACAAUGCAGUUAAGAAAAUAAGAGUUACAAAAAUGUUUACUAAAUAAAUUAAAGUUAAAAAAGUUAUGCAAUAAAAUAACGAGGCUAUAUACGGGGUACCGAGUCAAUGUGAGCUGGUACAGUCGAGGUAAUAUAUGACUAUGCCUAGAUAAUAAACAUCGAGUAGCAGCAGAUUUGAUGAUUUGUAACUUACAUGAUUCUUACCUGAAUUACCUACCUUGACGUCAUAUUCCAUGCUGAAAUAUGUCUGAUAUGCACACUUACCUGAUCCUCCUAGAUAUUUCAUUCUCUUGUGUAAAAUUAAACAUAGCACUUGUUGUCCAUCUUUUAAGUAUGCAUUCACCAUCACGUG
ensembl:lncRNA